GCUGGGUACAGUGGUGCGCACCUGUCAUCCCAGCUGCUGGGGAGGCUGGGGCAGGAGGAUCACGAGUUCAAAGCCAGCCUCAGCAAUGGCAAGGCACUAAGCCACUCAGUGAGACCCUGUCUCUA
rnacentral:sRNA from 1 species